CUGGCGGCAGCUUACCAUGCAAUCCGAGCGGGGGGAGGUAGCUUGCUACCGUACCUAGCGGCGGACGGGUGAGUAAUGCUUAGGAAUCUGCCUAUUAGUGGGGGACAACAUCUCGAAAGGGAUGCUAAUACCGCAUACGUCCUACGGGAGAAAGCAGGGGAUCUUCGGACCUUGCGCUAAUAGAUGAGCCUAAGUCGGAUUAGCUAGUUGGUGGGGUAAAGGCCUACCAAGGCGACGAUCUGUAGCGGGUCUGAGAGGAUGAUCCGCCACACUGGGACUGAGACACGGCCCAGACUCCUACGGGAGGCAGCAGUGGGGAAUAUUGGACAAUGGGGGGAACCCUGAUCCAGCCAUGCCGCGUGUGUGAAGAAGGCCUUAUGGUUGUAAAGCACUUUAAGCGAGGAGGAGGCUACUUUAGUUAAUACCUAGAGAUAGUGGACGUUACUCGCAGAAUAAGCACCGGCUAACUCUGUGCCAGCAGCCGCGGUAAUACAGAGGGUGCGAGCGUUAAUCGGAUUUACUGGGCGUAAAGCGUGCGUACGCGGCUUAUUAACUCGGAUGUGAAAUCCCCGAGCUUAACUUGGGAAUUGCAUUCGAUACUGGUGAGCUAGAGUAUGGGAGAGGAUGGUAGAACUCCAGGUGUAGCCGUGAAAUGCGUAAAGAUCUUGAGGAAUAACCAUGG
rnacentral:rRNA from 1 species